GGUAGUGUGGCACAGUGGUUUGAGUGCUGAACUAGGACUCUGGAGACCAGGGUUUGAUUCCAAGCUUGGCCA